rnacentral:rRNA from 1 species
GCAAGUCGAGCGCUCUCUUCGGAGGGAGCGGCGGACGGGUUAGUAACGCGUGGGAACAUACCCUUCUCUACGGAAUAGCCUCUGGAAACGGAGAGUAAUACCUUAUACGCCCUUUGGGGGAAAGAUUUAUCGGAGAAGGAUUAGCCCGCGUUAGAUUAGGUAGUUGGUGGGGUAAUGGCCUACCAAGCCUACGAUCUAUAGCUGGUUUUAGAGGAUGAUC